rnacentral:lncRNA from 11 species
CAGAAGCCUGUACACCAAAGAAGAUACUACUACACCUUCUUUAAAGCUCAGACUAAAACCUGAAGCAGACCCGUAAAUGUACUGUCACGGGAGACAAAAUCACUUCUGAGUUUAUAGUUCACAAUAUUGUGAACAGAAAAAGUCCUAUAUUUGGAAACACCUUUAAUGUAGAUCUGGGAUCUACAGUAAGAAAAGAUGAAGAUGUAUUGGAAAAAUGA